UCCCAGUUUUCCUAUUUGGGAAUAUGACAGCUUAUUUGUCAUUCUAAUCAAACCAGGAUGAAUCGCGAUGUAAGAAGCUUGAUUUUGAAACAUAAAGUAGUGGAGAAUCACCAGGAAGCUGAAUAAAUCUCAUAGGAAUUAGGAUGAAGAAGCUAUCCCACUUUCAAAUCAGGUAAUCCCAGUUUUCCUGUUUGGGAAUAUGACAGCUUCUUUGUCAUUCUAAUCAAACCAGGAUGAAUCGCGAUGUAAGAAGCUUGAUUUUGAAACAAAAAGUAGUGGAGAAUCACCAGGAAGCUGAAUAAAUCUCAUAGGAGUUAAGAUGAAGAAGCUAUUCCACUUUCAAAUCAGGUGAUCCCAGUUUUCCUGUUGGGAAUAUGACAGCUUCUUUGUCAUUCUAAUCAAACCAGGAUGAAUCGCAAUGUAAGAAGCUUGAUUUUGAAACAAAAAGUAGUGGAGAAUCACCAGGAAGCUGAAUAAAUCUCAUAGGAGUUAAGAUGAAGAAGCUAUCCCACUUUCAAAUCAGGUGAUCCCAAAUUUCCUGUUGGGAAUAUGACAGCUUAUUUGUCAUUCUAAUCAAACCAGGAUGAAUCGCAAUGUAAGAAGCUUGAUUUUGAUACAUAAAGUAGUGGAGAAUCACCAGGAAGUCGAAUAAAUCUCAUAGGAGUUAGUGUGAGAUUUUCAGAGCACAGGCUGUGUGUGGGCGUGAUGAAUCAACCUCCACAGGUUGGGACUGAGUCUUGUGUCAACAAUGGAAGAGAAUAAAAGAGAGACUGAUGGAAGAAUAAGAAUGGCGUGAGAUUAAGAGACUUUGAGUGAGAGAUUGAGAGAUUAGAGAGACUGAGAGAUUAAGUAACCAGAGAAUAGAGAUUUGGAGAUUCAAAGUAACCAAAGACUAGGAAGGAGAAGGGGAAAUCCCCCUUACUCUCUUAGAGAGUUUACAAUUCGCCCAUAAAGGGUCUUUAAAUAGAAAACAGGUUGCAAACUCAUAAAACCCUAAGUUAAGGAUAAGAAAUGGACAGUGGAGGUAGCCUGGUUUGAAAUGGACGUUCUGGAUCAGGUCUUGGGUUGUUUGUAGCUGGUUGUAUGCUCCUGAUUGGAUGUGGGAAUGCUUGGCUAGAAAUACUCCACACUGCCUUAUGUAUCUGUCCAUAUCUUUGUCCAGAUACAUAGCCAGCCUUUGUCUCUUUCUUUCCAGCAACAUCCAGCCUGUCUUGGACUAUCAUAAGCCAAUCAGAACCGUGUGCCAGCUCCCUUAGAUUCCCAUUGCACACAGCAUCUUCUUGAUGCUCUUUUGAUACCAUUACUCAACCCGGACCUUGCACAUACUUCUCAGACCGUACCCUUGUGCCCUAUUUUUGCACAAACACCAAAUGUCUUCAGAUGGUUGAGAAAAGAUGUUUCGGGUCGAUCUCAUCCGUACCGGUCCGUACAGUCCGUACUAUGAUUUUAGAGAGUUGAACAGGUAUUGAGAGAUUUAGAGAAAGAUUAAAGUGAGCUGAGAUGAUUUAUGAAAUGUAGAAGAGAAACAUGAUGAACUAGAGAGAGAAUCUGACAAACUCGUGUUAAUCAUUAAUCAAGACAGAGUUUACAAUAUAUAGAGAGAGACAUUAGGGUAUUCAGAAGCUCUAAGCAUGUGUGGUCAAGGAUAAGGUUGCUUUAAUUCAAAUGUAAACCAAUGAGGAAGAUCACACGCUUAUGGCAUCUUUUGGUGAGACUCCUUUUGCCUUUACAGCCUGUGCCAGACUGUCAGGAUAAGCCGCGGUCACUCUAUCCAUCCAAACGGUCUUAUCUCCUAAAGUAAAACCCCUUUGGCCGUUUAACCCUUUCACCCGGGUAACUUUCCUCUUGGUCGAGUUAUGGAUCGACCCGGACAGUACGGACGGUACGGCCGGUACGGCCUCUUGUACGGCCUGGUCGAUCCCUAACCUUCCUUCCCUUUGCCUUCACAUUCUCACAUCCUCAACUCCUUAAGCCAUCUCCCCAUGUACUGAACAACUCAUUUUAACACUCCCCCUCAAGCUUAACUUAGUAACUUAGUUAAGCUUGGAACCACCAUGAGAUCUUCCUCAUUAAAAACCUCACCAAGGAAAACCCAUUGGGACAAAACCUUGAUGAGGGAAAAAGAGUGAAGACCUCAUGGCAAAAGGGGAUCAGCUCCUUUGGGAAAGAUCUAUGAGCCCCAAUCUGGUAUGAAUGGACUCCAUAGUCUUUUGUCUUGCGGCCUUGGUGAACACAUCCGCAAGUUGAUCCUCACUCCUUGUGUAGCAUGGCAAGAUCACUCCCAAGACAAUCAUCUGCCUCACCUUGUGACAAUCAACUUCAAUGUGCUUGGUUCUCUCAUGGAAGACUGAGUUGGUCGCAAUGUGUAUAGCCGCUUGAUUAUCACAAUGCAUAGUCAUUGGAGUUCCCUGCUCUAUCUCCAAGUGCUUCAAGAUUCCUUUGAUCCAUACCAACUCAUUGGUAAGCUUCAGCAUUGCUCUAUACUCAGCUUCAGCGCUUGAACAAGACACCACCUUCUGCUUCUUACUCUUCCAAGUCACCAAGUUGCCUCCAAUGAAUGUACAAUAGCCGGUGGUUGAUCUCCUGUCUGCUCUAUCUCCAGCCCAAUCCGCAUCACAGUAUCCCACCACUUCAGUGCUCUUGUUGCAUCCCAUCCACACUCCAAGGCUUGUCGUCCCAUUCAGAUAUAAGAGAAGUCUCUCCACCAUGCGCCAGUGAUGAUCCUUUGGGACUUGCAUAUGCUGGCUCACUUGGUUCACCGCAAAGCAUAUGUCUGGUCGUGUGAUUGUAAGGUAGAUGAGCUUCCCUACUAGCUUCCUGUACAGCUUUGGAUCAUGAAAGGCCUUGCUAUCUUCAACCUCCCCCUCACGUGGAACCUUGUAUCCAUCUUCAAGAGGCAUCUUUGCUGUCUUGUCUCCUUGUAUACCUGCAUCUUUCAAAAGAUCAAGUGUAUACUUCCUUUGGGAAAUGAACAAUCCUUCCUUAGAUCUACACAACUCAAUUCCAAGGAAGUAUUUCAUUUCCCCUAAGUCUUUGAUUUCAAACACAGAUUUCAAAAACUCCUUUGUGGCUUUUAUACCAGCCUUAUCACUACCUGUUAUGAUAAUGUCAUCAACAUAUACGAGUAGACAGAUGAUACCUGAAGGUGUAGUGAGGGUGAAGAGGGUGUGAUCCAACUCUGACUUCUUGAACCCACGGCCAUUCAGAGUAGUACUCAGCUUGUUGUACCAUGCUCUAGGUGAUUGCUUCAACCCAUAGAUCGCCUUCUUGAGUCUCAAUACAUUCCCUGGUUUCACAAGAUGUUCAAGACCCGGUGGUGGAUGCAUGUACACUUCAUCUUCUAGUUCUCCCUGAAGAAAUGCAUUCUUCACAUCCAUCUGCCAAAGCUCCCACUCAAGGUUCACAGCAAGAGACAAUACAAUUCUUAUUGUAUGUAGCUUGGCAACAGGGGCAAAGGUAUCAAUGUAGUCUUCCCCAUAUGUUUGAGUGUAUCCUCUAGCCACCAGUCUUGUCUUCUUUCUGUCAAUGGUUCCAUCAGGUAGAUACUUAAUGGUGAAUAUCCACUUGCUGGUUACUGCCUUCUUUCCUUUUGGCAACUCACUUUCAAACCAAGUGUCAUUCUUUAUCAUGGCAUUUGCCUCAUCUCCAACAGAUUCCUUCCAAUCUUGAUGUAGCAUUGCCUCUUCAUAUGAUCUUGGUACACUACUUUCAUCUAGGCUCAUCAUGAAUGCGCAAUGCUCCUUUGGAUAACAGGCAAAUGAACACACAGCUUGAGAAGGAUGCUCCACAGCCUGGGCAUUGUAGUACACUCUCGUGUUUACCCAGUUGGAAGCAUCUCUCUUCAGCCAUGUGCUUCUCCUUAAUGGUACCUCAGCUGGUGCUUGCUCUGGUGCUUCUACUUAUGAGAUUUAAGAGUACUCAGGUUGUAUGUGUGUAUGAAACCCAAAUGGGUAAAGAGAGAGAGCUUGGAAGCGAUUUGAGAGAAAGGAAGUUUGAUGAGUGUUUGUGUGUCUAAGUGUUUAAGAGAUUAGUAACAAGACUGAGAACGUGUAUAGAGAUUCAGGAUGAGAGACUAGAGAGACUAAGAAAGUGUUUCAGAUUAGAGAAGGAGAAGGGAAACCCCCUUACUCACUUAAGAGUUACAAAACAUCACUUAUGAGCUUAUAUAUGCUCUUUACAACUUGCAAUCAUAAACCUAAAUCUAAGGGCUGUUAUAACUUGAAUUUAAAUGAAUGGAUGAGAUGGACAGAUGGUCUUGGUCGUGGCUGUGCUGUUCCUGAUGGUUAAUUGGUCCAUUUGAAUCUGGUCAAGGGAAGGCUGGCUCCUUAUUGGCUAGCUAAAGGCUCCCAUGAAUCUGCCCACUUCUUUUGCUAGAUACUAUACACUUUUGUGUAUUAGAGCAUGAUUCAACUAAUCCAGGAUAAUCAGAUGAAAAGAUUAAAGAGAUUAAGAGAUUUUAGUGAGAGAAUAGAGAGAGACUCAAAAACUCCAUUAGAUUGAUUAAUGAGAGAGUUUACAACACAUAUAGAUUAGGAAUACAUCAAUUCGUCCAGGUUCACUCUAGCUAGGAUAGAAAGCAUGUGUAGUCAAAGAUGCUUGAUUUAAACUAGCCAAUAAGGUUCCUCACAUGCUUGGGCAUCUUGCUUUAGCUUUCCAGCUGGUGCCAGCCUGUCUAAAGCUCUCUAGCCUUGACCAGACCUUAUCCAAACUCCUCCUUGCUUAUUCAGACUCAUCCUGGCGUGAUUCACUCUUCACAUAGAUGCAAGGUAACUUCCCAAGUCUUUUAACUCAGUUACCACAGUAACAAUAAAGUUACUGUGGUAAAUCUCCAAGUUACUGCCUGCUCCAAAUCCCUUCCUCUAUCCAUGUAUCCACUCUCCAUCUCCUCAUCUCAACACUCCCCCUCAAGCUUGACCAUGUAGAACAAGUCAAGCUUGGAAACCAUGAAGACCUCCCUCAUUAAAAACCUCACCAAGGAAAACCCAAUGGGAUAAAACCUUGAUGAGGGAAAAAGAGUGGAGACUCCAUGGUUAAGGGGCUCAGCUCCUAGGAGUAAGAUCAAUGAGUCCAAGUCUUGAUAGUAUGGACUCCAUUGUCUUUACUCUCGCUGCCUUAGUAAACACAUCUGCAAGCUGAUCUUCACUUCUUGUAUAACAUGGCAAUAUCACUCCAAGUAUAAUCAUCUGCCUCACCUUGUGACAAUCAACUUCUAUAUGCUUCGUCCUCUCAUGAAAGACUGAGUUAGAAGCAAUGUGGAUAGCUGCUUGAUUGUCACAAUGCAUUGUCAUAGGAGUACUCUGCUCAAUCUCCAAAUGCUUCAAGAUCCCCUUGAUCCACACCAACUCGUUUGUCAGCUUCAACAUGGCUCUAUACUCAGCUUCAGCACUUGAACAGGAGAUAACCUUCUGCUUCUUACUCUUCCAAGUGACCAAGUUCCCUCCAAUGAAUGUACAAUACCCAGUAGUUGAUCUCCUGUCCACUCUAUCUCCUGCCCAAUCAGCAUCACAAUAUCCAACCACUUCUGUACUGCCAUUACAACCCAUCCAAACUCCUUGACCAGACGUGCCACUCAAAUACCUCAGUAUCCUAUCAACCAUCUUCCAAUGAUGAACCUUUGGUGCCUGCAUAUGCUGGCUCACUUGAUUCACUGCAAAGCAUAUAUCAGGUCUUGUAAUCGUCAAGUAGAUCAGCUUUCCAACCAUCCUCCUAUACAGCUUAGCAUCCUCAAACAACUGGUUCUCUUCAACCUCCCCCUCACGCAAGACCUUAUACCCCUCCUCAAGAGGUGUCUUAGCUAUCUUUCCUCCAAGCACAUCAGCUUCCUUUAGCAUAUCCAUUGCAUACUUCCUUUGAGACAUGAACAAACCCUCCUUUGAUCUGCAUAUCUCAAUCCCCAAGAAAUACUUCAUCUCUCCCAAGUCUUUGAUAUCAAAUACUGACCUGAGAAACUCUUUAGUGGCUUUAAUCCCAGCCUUAUCACUCCCUGUGAUAAUCAAAUCAUCCACAUACACUAGAAUCACAAUGAUCCCUGAUGGCCCGACCAGUGUGAAGAGUGUGUGAUCUAGUUCAGACUUCCUGAACCCUCUCCCAUUGAGUGUUGUACUCAGCUUCCUGUACCAGGCUCUAGGAGACUGCUUCAACCCAUAUAUAGCUUUCUUCAAUCUCAAAACAUUUCCUGGCUUUACUAGAUGCUCAAGACCAGGAGGAGGAAGCAUAUAUACCUCAUCUUCUAGCUCACCUUGCAGGAAAGCAUUCUUCACAUCCAUCUGCCACAAAUCCCACUCCAAGUUUGUUGCAAUGGAUAACACAAUUCGAAUUGUGUGAAGCUUGGCCACUGGUGCAAAAGUAUCAAUGUAAUCUUCUCCAUAAGUCUGUGUAAAUCCUCUUGCAACCAGCCUGGUCUUGUGCCUAUCUAUCUCCCCAUUUGCAAGAUAUUUAAUGGUGAAGAUCCAUCUGCUUGAAACUGCCUUCUUCCCUCUAGGUAAUUCACUCUCAUACCAAGUGUCAUUCCUGAUCAUUGCAUCCCUUUCAUCUCCUACUGAAUCUCUCCAAACCUUGUGCUUCAUAGCUUCUUCAUAAGAUCUUGGUAUCUCAUUCUCAUCCAAGUUACACAUAAACACCAUGUGCUCUUCUGGAAACUCAGCAAAGGAACACAUGGCUUGAGAGGGAUGCUCCACAGCCUGGGCAUUGUAGUACACUCUCGUGUUUACCCAGUUGGAAGGAUCCCUCCUUAUCCUUGUGCUCCUCCGCAAGGUCUCAACCUGUUCUUCAGCCUGAACAUUCUCUUGUGCUUCCUCUCUUAAACCAGUAGGUUCUCCCUGCUCAUUUCCAGCAGGUUCUCCCUGCUCAUUUCCACCUGACUGAGCUCCACUCUCUACUUCCUGUGUCUCCUCCUGAUCAUGCUGACCUGAAUCCUCUUGGUUAUGCUCCUGCUCCCCUGAUUCAGAUCCAUUCCCCCUCUCAUGAUCAAGAGGAGUUGUUCCUCCAGCUUCUCCAGCUUGAUUAGUAGGUCCUGUUCUUCCUGGUUCCUGAUCUUGGGAUAAUCCUAUCCCUAGCCUCUCCAACAACACCCUCAAUGUUGUUGCCUUCUCUGAUGGAGCUCGGGACAGAUCCUCUAGGUCUUCCCAUUUCUUCUCCUCAUAAUACCCUUUAGACUCAACAAACUUCACUUCUCUAGAUACCAUAACCCUCCUAGUUAUUGGAUCAUAACAUUUGUAGCCUUUCUGAGUGAUUGAGUACCCAAUGAACAUAGCUUUAGUACUCUUUGCUUCUAGCUUGUUCCUUCUUUCUCCGGGACUCAUCACAUAACAUAAGCACCCAAAGACUCUCAAAUGAUCAAUGUGUGGCUUGGUCUUGUUCAAUACUUCAAAGGGAGACAGUUUCUUCAAGACACGGGUUGGCACUCUAUUGAUGAGAUAGCAAGCAGUCUGAACAGCAUCACUCCAAAACCUCUUAGGGACAUUCAUGUGGAACAUGAUUGAUCUCGCAACCUCCAUCAAAUGUCUGUUCUUCCUCUCUGCCACCCCAUUUUGUUGUGGUGUGUAAGGACAGCUAGUUUGUUGCACAAUCCCAUGCUUUGCAAGAUGACUCUUGAAAGCAUUACUAGUGUAUUCUCCUCCAUUAUCAGACCUCAGAAUCUUCACAGUGGCAUUGUACUGAUUAGUAACAUAUGCUUGGAAGUUCAUGAAGGCUUCUAGGACUCUGUCUUUGGAGGGAAUCAUGGUGAUCCAUGUGUACUUUGACUUCUCAUCAAUGAAAGUCACAAAGUACUUAUGGCUGUCUCUAGACAUGCAGGGAGCUGUCCACACGUCUGAAUGCACCAGAUCAAAGCAAUUCUCAUAUCUGGUUUCUGAUGUUGGGAAGACAGUCCUACAGUGCUUUCCAAGUAUACACGCUUCACACUCCAAGUGAUUGAACGCCAUACUUGGUAGAAUCAGUUCAAUUGCCUUGGCAUGAGGAUGUCCCAGCCUUGCAUGCCAUGUGAGAUUAUCACACCUAUCCGUUGUGCUGCUUAAACACACAGACUCCACAGGACUAGGCGCCUCAGUUGUUUGGAGAUGAUAGAGCUGAUGCUUGCUGUCUCCUCUGCCAAUAACCCUUCCAGUCUUCAAAUCCUGGAACUCAACUUCAUUUGGUCUGAAAACCACUUGACAAUCCAGAUCAACUGUAGCCUUCUUAACUGAGAUUAGAUUGGAUGUAAACUGAGGUAGGUAGAAGGCAGUAGAGUUCUUCUCAAACAGCUUGAGGUUUCCCACUCCUUCUAUUGGGAUCCUGGUACCAUUGGCUAUCAUGACACUCCCUGUUGCUGCUUUAACCUCACUGAUUAGUCUCUUGUCACUGAUCAUGUGGUGUGUUGCUCCAGAGUCAAUGAUGAUGGGUUUAGAUGUGGAUGCUUUGGCAGGAGCACCCAGACUCCGGGUCGUAGCCAAAGCAUACACAUGCUUAACCAACUCAUCCCAUUCCUUCUUUGUCACACACUCAUCUGCCCUCUUGGUAUCCAUUCCUCUCAUAUCCGCACUGUCUCCUACUGUUUCUCCCAUGUAAGCUGAGUAUGAACACUCUCCUAUAACCAUCUGCUGAAGUACAUCCUUGAUUCUCUUCAAGAUUACACUCAUCCUGCCACUUAAGUGCUCAGACUCGCUAUCCUUUCUCCAUACCCUUCUCUUCAUUAACCACUCCUUAGAAAGUUUUCUCAACCUUCCCCUCUUACAGCUUGUACCUCCCUUCCAUCUUUCUGGCUUCCUGUUCAUUUCCCACACAUCACAAGUAUAUUUAACAAGCUCACAUACCUCUUCCAUAAGGAAGCUGAAGAUCACAUCUUGCUUCCUCCUUUCUUGACUACAUCUCGGAUUUGAUGUGUGUGUCUUCACCACAUCUAGCUCUGACCACACUUCUCUCAGCCUUCCCACAAGCUGAUAACACUCAUCCUUUCCUUGUCUCAAGCCGCGGAUCACCCCUCUGUCCUCAAUGACUCUCACAAGCUUGGACUUGCCUAAAGUUGCUUCAAUCUCACUCUUUGUAGUGUUUCCUUGAACAACUUCAUUUCCCAGCUUCAGACCUCUUGUCUGACCUUCUUCAGUAGCCAUUUCCAUGAAAGGUUUCCCCUUUCCAUGACUACUCCAUAACCCACAGCUUUCCAAAGCUCUUUUAGCCCACCUUGACCACUCGCCAAGCCUCUCCUCUUCAGUCUUCACAGUUGACUCAGGUCUGUGCUCCAUUUCCAUGUUGAGAUGAUUUGGAUUCACCAGAACCUCUCACGCCACCAAGAUAAUGAAACCCAGGAGUUAAGAACACCAAGAACACUCAAGAACACUCAAUAACUUUAAGGAAAAAGGAAUCACACUCUCCCACUUUGCGCAACCUGGCUCUGAUACCAUAAACACUUUUGUGUAUUAGAGCAUGAUUCAACUAAUCCAGGAUAAUCAGAUGAAAAGAUUAAAGAGAUUAAGAGAUUUUAGUGAGAGAAUAGAGAGAGACUCAAAACUCCAUUAGAUUGAUUAAUGAGAGAGUUUACAACACAUAUAGAUUAGGGAUACAUCAAUUCGUCCAGGUUCACUCUAGCUAGGAUAGAAAGCAUGUGUAGUCAAAGAUGCUUGAUUUAAACUAGCCAAUAAGGUUCCUCACAUGCUUGGGCAUCUUGCUUUAGCUUUCCAGCUGGUGCCAGCCUGUCUAAAGCUCUCUAGCCUUGACCAGACCUUAUCCAAACUCCUCCUUGCUUAUUCAGACUCAUCCUGGCGUGAUUCACUCUUCACAUAGAUGCAAGGUAACUUCCCAAGUCUUUUAACUCAGUUACCACAGUAACAAUAAAGUUACUGUGGUAAAUCUCCAAGUUACUGCCUGCUCCAAAUCCCUUCCUCUAUCCAUGUAUCCACUCUCCAUCUCCUCAUCUCAACACUCCCCCUCAAGCUUGACCAUGUAGAACAAGUCAAGCUUGGAAACCAUGAAGACCUCCCUCAUUAAAAACCUCACCAAGGAAAACCCAAUGGGAUAAAACCUUGAUGAGGGAAAAAGAGUGGAGACUCCAUGGUUAAGGGGCUCAGCUCCUAGGAGUAAGAUCAAUGAGUCCAAGUCUUGAUAGUAUGGACUCCAUUGUCUUUACUCUCGCUGCCUUAGUAAACACAUCUGCAAGCUGAUCUUCACUUCUUGUAUAACAUGGCAAUAUCACUCCAAGUAUAAUCAUCUGCCUCACCUUGUGACAAUCAACUUCUAUAUGCUUCGUCCUCUCAUGAAAGACUGAGUUAGAAGCAAUGUGGAUAGCUGCUUGAUUGUCACAAUGCAUUGUCAUAGGAGUACUCUGCUCAAUCUCCAAAUGCUUCAAGAUCCCCUUGAUCCACACCAACUCGUUUGUCAGCUUCAACAUGGCUCUAUACUCAGCUUCAGCACUUGAACAGGAGAUAACCUUCUGCUUCUUACUCUUCCAAGUGACCAAGUUCCCUCCAAUGAAUGUACAAUACCCAGUAGUUGAUCUCCUGUCCACUCUAUCUCCUGCCCAAUCAGCAUCACAAUAUCCAACCACUUCUGUACUGCCAUUACAACCCAUCCAAACUCCUUGACCAGACGUGCCACUCAAAUACCUCAGUAUCCUAUCAACCAUCUUCCAAUGAUGAACCUUUGGUGCCUGCAUAUGCUGGCUCACUUGAUUCACUGCAAAGCAUAUAUCAGGUCUUGUAAUCGUCAAGUAGAUCAGCUUUCCAACCAUCCUCCUAUACAGCUUAGCAUCCUCAAACAACUGGUUCUCUUCAACCUCCCCCUCACGCAAGACCUUAUACCCCUCCUCAAGAGGUGUCUUAGCUAUCUUUCCUCCAAGCACAUCAGCUUCCUUUAGCAUAUCCAUUGCAUACUUCCUUUGAGACAUGAACAAACCCUCCUUUGAUCUGCAUAUCUCAAUCCCCAAGAAAUACUUCAUCUCUCCCAAGUCUUUGAUAUCAAAUACUGACUUGAGAAACUCUUUAGUGGCUUUAAUCCCAGCCUUAUCACUCCCUGUGAUAAUCAAAUCAUCCACAUACACUAGAAUCACAAUGAUCCCUGAUGGCCCGACCAGUGUGAAGAGUGUGUGAUCUAGUUCAGACUUCCUGAACCCUCUCCCAUUGAGUGUUGUACUCAGCUUCCUGUACCAGGCUCUAGGAGACUGCUUCAACCCAUAUAUAGCUUUCUUCAAUCUCAAAACAUUUCCUGGCUUUACUAGAUGCUCAAGACCAGGAGGAGGAAGCAUAUAUACCUCAUCUUCUAGCUCACCUUGCAGGAAAGCAUUCUUCACAUCCAUCUGCCACAAAUCCCACUCCAAGUUUGUUGCAAUGGAUAACACAAUUCGAAUUGUGUGAAGCUUGGCCACUGGUGCAAAAGUAUCAAUGUAAUCUUCUCCAUAAGUCUGUGUAAAUCCUCUUGCAACCAGCCUGGUCUUGUGCCUAUCUAUCUCCCCAUUUGCAAGAUAUUUAAUGGUGAAGAUCCAUCUGCUUGAAACUGCCUUCUUCCCUCUAGGUAAUUCACUCUCAUACCAAGUGUCAUUCCUGAUCAUUGCAUCCCUUUCAUCUCCUACUGAAUCUCUCCAAACCUUGUGCUUCAUAGCUUCUUCAUAAGAUCUUGGUAUCUCAUUCUCAUCCAAGUUACACAUAAACACCAUGUGCUCUUCUGGAAACUCAGCAAAGGAACACAUGGCUUGAGAGGGAUGCUCCACAGCCUGGGCAUUGUAGUACACUCUCGUGUUUACCCAGUUGGAAGGAUCCCUCCUUAUCCUUGUGCUCCUCCGCAAGGUCUCAACCUGUUCUUCAGCCUGAACAUUCUCUUGUGCUUCCUCUCUUAAACCAGUAGGUUCUCCCUGCUCAUUUCCAGCAGGUUCUCCCUGCUCAUUUCCACCUGACUGAGCUCCACUCUCUACUUCCUGUGUCUCCUCCUGAUCAUGCUGACCUGAAUCCUCUUGGUUAUGCUCCUGCUCCCCUGAUUCAGAUCCAUUCCCCCUCUCAUGAUCAAGAGGAGUUGUUCCUCCAGCUUCUCCAGCUUGAUUAGUAGGUCCUGUUCUUCCUGGUUCCUGAUCUUGGGAUAAUCCUAUCCCUAGCCUCUCCAACAACACCCUCAAUGUUGUUGCCUUCUCUGAUGGAGCUCGGGACAGAUCCUCUAGGUCUUCCCAUUUCUUCUCCUCAUAAUACCCUUUAGACUCAACAAACUUCACUUCUCUAGAUACCAUAACCCUCCUAGUUAUUGGAUCAUAACAUUUGUAGCCUUUCUGAGUGAUUGAGUACCCAAUGAACAUAGCUUUAGUACUCUUUGCUUCUAGCUUGUUCCUUCUUUCUCCGGGACUCAUCACAUAACAUAAGCACCCAAAGACUCUCAAAUGAUCAAUGUGUGGCUUGGUCUUGUUCAAUACUUCAAAGGGAGACAGUUUCUUCAAGACACGGGUUGGCACUCUAUUGAUGAGAUAGCAAGCAGUCUGAACAGCAUCACUCCAAAACCUCUUAGGGACAUUCAUGUGGAACAUGAUUGAUCUCGCAACCUCCAUCAAAUGUCUGUUCUUCCUCUCUGCCACCCCAUUUUGUUGUGGUGUGUAAGGACAGCUAGUUUGUUGCACAAUCCCAUGCUUUGCAAGAUGACUCUUGAAAGCAUUACUAGUGUAUUCUCCUCCAUUAUCAGACCUCAGAAUCUUCACAGUGGCAUUGUACUGAUUAGUAACAUAUGCUUGGAAGUUCAUGAAGGCUUCUAGGACUCUGUCUUUGGAGGGAAUCAUGGUGAUCCAUGUGUACUUUGACUUCUCAUCAAUGAAAGUCACAAAGUACUUAUGGCUGUCUCUAGACAUGCAGGGAGCUGUCCACACGUCUGAAUGCACCAGAUCAAAGCAAUUCUCAUAUCUGGUUUCUGAUGUUGGGAAGACAGUCCUACAGUGCUUUCCAAGUAUACACGCUUCACACUCCAAGUGAUUGAACGCCAUACUUGGUAGAAUCAGUUCAAUUGCCUUGGCAUGAGGAUGUCCCAGCCUUGCAUGCCAUGUGAGAUUAUCACACCUAUCCGUUGUGCUGCUUAAACACACAGACUCCACAGGACUAGGCGCCUCAGUUGUUUGGAGAUGAUAGAGCUGAUGCUUGCUGUCUCCUCUGCCAAUAACCCUUCCAGUCUUCAAAUCCUGGAACUCAACUUCAUUUGGUCUGAAAACCACUUGACAAUCCAGAUCAACUGUAGCCUUCUUAACUGAGAUUAGAUUGGAUGUAAACUGAGGUAGGUAGAAGGCAGUAGAGUUCUUCUCAAACAGCUUGAGGUUUCCCACUCCUUCUAUUGGGAUCCUGGUACCAUUGGCUAUCAUGACACUCCCUGUUGCUGCUUUAACCUCACUGAUUAGUCUCUUGUCACUGAUCAUGUGGUGUGUUGCUCCAGAGUCAAUGAUGAUGGGUUUAGAUGUGGAUGCUUUGGCAGGAGCACCCAGACUCCGGGUCGUAGCCAAAGCAUACACAUGCUUAACCAACUCAUCCCAUUCCUUCUUUGUCACACACUCAUCUGCCCUCUUGGUAUCCAUUCCUCUCAUAUCCGCACUGUCUCCUACUGUUUCUCCCAUGUAAGCUGAGUAUGAACACUCUCCUAUAACCAUCUGCUGAAGUACAUCCUUGAUUCUCUUCAAGAUUACACUCAUCCUGCCACUUAAGUGCUCAGACUCGCUAUCCUUUCUCCAUACCCUUCUCUUCAUUAACCACUCCUUAGAAAGUUUUCUCAACCUUCCCCUCUUACAGCUUGUACCUCCCUUCCAUCUUUCUGGCUUCCUGUUCAUUUCCCACACAUCACAAGUAUAUUUAACAAGCUCACAUACCUCUUCCAUAAGGAAGCUGAAGAUCACAUCUUGCUUCCUCCUUUCUUGACUACAUCUCGGAUUUGAUGUGUGUGUCUUCACCACAUCUAGCUCUGACCACACUUCUCUCAGCCUUCCCACAAGCUGAUAACACUCAUCCUUUCCUUGUCUCAAGCCGCGGAUCACCCCUCUGUCCUCAAUGACUCUCACAAGCUUGGACUUGCCUAAAGUUGCUUCAAUCUCACUCUUUGUAGUGUUUCCUUGAACAACUUCAUUUCCCAGCUUCAGACCUCUUGUCUGACCUUCUUCAGUAGCCAUUUCCAUGAAAGGUUUCCCCUUUCCAUGACUACUCCAUAACCCACAGCUUUCCAAAGCUCUUUUAGCCCACCUUGACCACUCGCCAAGCCUCUCCUCUUCAGUCUUCACAGUUGACUCAGGUCUGUGUUCCAUUUCCAUGUUGAGAUGAUUUGGAUUCACCAUAACCUCUCACGCCACCAAGAUAAUGAAACCCAGGAGUUAAGAACACCAAGAACACUCAAGAACACUCAAUAACUUUAAGGAAAAAGGAAUCACACUCUCCCACUUUGCGCAACCUGGCUCUGAUACCAUAUACACUUUUGUGUAUUAGAGCAUGAUUCAACUAAUCCAGGAUAAUCAGAUGAAAAGAUUAAAGAGAUUAAGAGAUUUUAGUGAGAGAAUAGAGAGAGACUCAAAACUCCAUUAGAUUGAUUAAUGAGAGAGUUUACAACACAUAUAGAUUAGGGAUACAUCAAUUCGUCCAGGUUCACUCUAGCUAGGAUAGAAAGCAUGUGUAGUCAAAGAUGCUUGAUUUAAACUAGCCAAUAAGGUUCCUCACAUGCUUGGGCAUCUUGCUUUAGCUUUCCAGCUGGUGCCAGCCUGUCUAAAGCUCUCUAGCCUUGACCAGACCUUAUCCAAACUCCUCCUUGCUUAUUCAGACUCAUCCUGGCGUGAUUCACUCUUCACAUAGAUGCAAGGUAACUUCCCAAGUCUUUUAACUCAGUUACCACAGUAACAAUAAAGUUACUGUGGUAAAUCUCCAAGUUACUGCCUGCUCCAAAUCCCUUCCUCUAUCCAUGUAUCCACUCUCCAUCUCCUCAUCUCAACACUCCCCCUCAAGCUUGACCAUGUAGAACAAGUCAAGCUUGGAAACCAUGAAGACCUCCCUCAUUAAAAACCUCACCAAGGAAAACCCAAUGGGAUAAAACCUUGAUGAGGGAAAAAGAGUGGAGACUCCAUGGUUAAGGGGCUCAGCUCCUAGGAGUAAGAUCAAUGAGUCCAAGUCUUGAUAGUAUGGACUCCAUUGUCUUUACUCUCGCUGCCUUAGUAAACACAUCUGCAAGCUGAUCUUCACUUCUUGUAUAACAUGGCAAUAUCACUCCAAGUAUAAUCAUCUGCCUCACCUUGUGACAAUCAACUUCUAUAUGCUUCGUCCUCUCAUGAAAGACUGAGUUAGAAGCAAUGUGGAUAGCUGCUUGAUUGUCACAAUGCAUUGUCAUAGGAGUACUCUGCUCAAUCUCCAAAUGCUUCAAGAUCCCCUUGAUCCACACCAACUCGUUUGUCAGCUUCAACAUGGCUCUAUACUCAGCUUCAGCACUUGAACAGGAGAUAACCUUCUGCUUCUUACUCUUCCAAGUGACCAAGUUCCCUCCAAUGAAUGUACAAUACCCAGUAGUUGAUCUCCUGUCCACUCUAUCUCCUGCCCAAUCAGCAUCACAAUAUCCAACCACUUCUGUACUGCCAUUACAACCCAUCCAAACUCCUUGACCAGACGUGCCACUCAAAUACCUCAGUAUCCUAUCAACCAUCUUCCAAUGAUGAACCUUUGGUGCCUGCAUAUGCUGGCUCACUUGAUUCACUGCAAAGCAUAUAUCAGGUCUUGUAAUCGUCAAGUAGAUCAGCUUUCCAACCAUCCUCCUAUACAGCUUAGCAUCCUCAAACAACUGGUUCUCUUCAACCUCCCCCUCACGCAAGACCUUAUACCCCUCCUCAAGAGGUGUCUUAGCUAUCUUUCCUCCAAGCACAUCAGCUUCCUUUAGCAUAUCCAUUGCAUACUUCCUUUGAGACAUGAACAAACCCUCCUUUGAUCUGCAUAUCUCAAUCCCCAAGAAAUACUUCAUCUCUCCCAAGUCUUUGAUAUCAAAUACUGACCUGAGAAACUCUUUAGUGGCUUUAAUCCCAGCCUUAUCACUCCCUGUGAUAAUCAAAUCAUCCACAUACACUAGAAUCACAAUGAUCCCUGAUGGCCCGACCAGUGUGAAGAGUGUGUGAUCUAGUUCAGACUUCCUGAACCCUCUCCCAUUGAGUGUUGUACUCAGCUUCCUGUACCAGGCUCUAGGAGACUGCUUCAACCCAUAUAUAGCUUUCUUCAAUCUCAAAACAUUUCCUGGCUUUACUAGAUGCUCAAGACCAGGAGGAGGAAGCAUAUAUACCUCAUCUUCUAGCUCACCUUGCAGGAAAGCAUUCUUCACAUCCAUCUGCCACAAAUCCCACUCCAAGUUUGUUGCAAUGGAUAACACAAUUCGAAUUGUGUGAAGCUUGGCCACUGGUGCAAAAGUAUCAAUGUAAUCUUCUCCAUAAGUCUGUGUAAAUCCUCUUGCAACCAGCCUGGUCUUGUGCCUAUCUAUCUCCCCAUUUGCAAGAUAUUUAAUGGUGAAGAUCCAUCUGCUUGAAACUGCCUUCUUCCCUCUAGGUAAUUCACUCUCAUACCAAGUGUCAUUCCUGAUCAUUGCAUCCCUUUCAUCUCCUACUGAAUCUCUCCAAACCUUGUGCUUCAUAGCUUCUUCAUAAGAUCUUGGUAUCUCAUUCUCAUCCAAGUUACACAUAAACACCAUGUGCUCUUCUGGAAACUCAGCAAAGGAACACAUGGCUUGAGAGGGAUGCUCCACAGCCUGGGCAUUGUAGUACACUCUCGUGUUUACCCAGUUGGAAGGAUCCCUCCUUAUCCUUGUGCUCCUCCGCAAGGUCUCAACCUGUUCUUCAGCCUGAACAUUCUCUUGUGCUUCCUCUCUUAAACCAGUAGGUUCUCCCUGCUCAUUUCCAGCAGGUUCUCCCUGCUCAUUUCCACCUGACUGAGCUCCACUCUCUACUUCCUGUGUCUCCUCCUGAUCAUGCUGACCUGAAUCCUCUUGGUUAUGCUCCUGCUCCCCUGAUUCAGAUCCAUUCCCCCUCUCAUGAUCAAGAGGAGUUGUUCCUCCAGCUUCUCCAGCUUGAUUAGUAGGUCCUGUUCUUCCUGGUUCCUGAUCUUGGGAUAAUCCUAUCCCUAGCCUCUCCAACAACACCCUCAAUGUUGUUGCCUUCUCUGAUGGAGCUCGGGACAGAUCCUCUAGGUCUUCCCAUUUCUUCUCCUCAUAAUACCCUUUAGACUCAACAAACUUCACUUCUCUAGAUACCAUAACCCUCCUAGUUAUUGGAUCAUAACAUUUGUAGCCUUUCUGAGUGAUUGAGUACCCAAUGAACAUAGCUUUAGUACUCUUUGCUUCUAGCUUGUUCCUUCUUUCUCCGGGACUCAUCACAUAACAUAAGCACCCAAAGACUCUCAAAUGAUCAAUGUGUGGCUUGGUCUUGUUCAAUACUUCAAAGGGAGACAGUUUCUUCAAGACACGGGUUGGCACUCUAUUGAUGAGAUAGCAAGCAGUCUGAACAGCAUCACUCCAAAACCUCUUAGGGACAUUCAUGUGGAACAUGAUUGAUCUCGCAACCUCCAUCAAAUGUCUGUUCUUCCUCUCUGCCACCCCAUUUUGUUGUGGUGUGUAAGGACAGCUAGUUUGUUGCACAAUCCCAUGCUUUGCAAGAUGACUCUUGAAAGCAUUACUAGUGUAUUCUCCUCCAUUAUCAGACCUCAGAAUCUUCACAGUGGCAUUGUACUGAUUAGUAACAUAUGCUUGGAAGUUCAUGAAGGCUUCUAGGACUCUGUCUUUGGAGGGAAUCAUGGUGAUCCAUGUGUACUUUGACUUCUCAUCAAUGAAAGUCACAAAGUACUUAUGGCUGUCUCUAGACAUGCAGGGAGCUGUCCACACGUCUGAAUGCACCAGAUCAAAGCAAUUCUCAUAUCUGGUUUCUGAUGUUGGGAAGACAGUCCUACAGUGCUUUCCAAGUAUACACGCUUCACACUCCAAGUGAUUGAACGCCAUACUUGGUAGAAUCAGUUCAAUUGCCUUGGCAUGAGGAUGUCCCAGCCUUGCAUGCCAUGUGAGAUUAUCACACCUAUCCGUUGUGCUGCUUAAACACACAGACUCCACAGGACUAGGCGCCUCAGUUGUUUGGAGAUGAUAGAGCUGAUGCUUGCUGUCUCCUCUGCCAAUAACCCUUCCAGUCUUCAAAUCCUGGAACUCAACUUCAUUUGGUCUGAAAACCACUUGACAAUCCAGAUCAACUGUAGCCUUCUUAACUGAGAUUAGAUUGGAUGUAAACUGAGGUAGGUAGAAGGCAGUAGAGUUCUUCUCAAACAGCUUGAGGUUUCCCACUCCUUCUAUUGGGAUCCUGGUACCAUUGGCUAUCAUGACACUCCCUGUUGCUGCUUUAACCUCACUGAUUAGUCUCUUGUCACUGAUCAUGUGGUGUGUUGCUCCAGAGUCAAUGAUGAUGGGUUUAGAUGUGGAUGCUUUGGCAGGAGCACCCAGACUCCGGGUCGUAGCCAAAGCAUACACAUGCUUAACCAACUCAUCCCAUUCCUUCUUUGUCACACACUCAUCUGCCCUCUUGGUAUCCAUUCCUCUCAUAUCCGCACUGUCUCCUACUGUUUCUCCCAUGUAAGCUGAGUAUGAACACUCUCCUAUAACCAUCUGCUGAAGUACAUCCUUGAUUCUCUUCAAGAUUACACUCAUCCUGCCACUUAAGUGCUCAGACUCGCUAUCCUUUCUCCAUACCCUUCUCUUCAUUAACCACUCCUUAGAAAGUUUUCUCAACCUUCCCCUCUUACAGCUUGUACCUCCCUUCCAUCUUUCUGGCUUCCUGUUCAUUUCCCACACAUCACAAGUAUAUUUAACAAGCUCACAUACCUCUUCCAUAAGGAAGCUGAAGAUCACAUCUUGCUUCCUCCUUUCUUGACUACAUCUCGGAUUUGAUGUGUGUGUCUUCACCACAUCUAGCUCUGACCACACUUCUCUCAGCCUUCCCACAAGCUGAUAACACUCAUCCUUUCCUUGUCUCAAGCCGCGGAUCACCCCUCUGUCCUCAAUGACUCUCACAAGCUUGGACUUGCCUAAAGUUGCUUCAAUCUCACUCUUUGUAGUGUUUCCUUGAACAACUUCAUUUCCCAGCUUCAGACCUCUUGUCUGACCUUCUUCAGUAGCCAUUUCCAUGAAAGGUUUCCCCUUUCUAUGACUACUCCAUAACCCACAGCUUUCCAAAGCUCUUUUAGCCCACCUUGACCACUCGCCAAGCCUCUCCUCUUCAGUCUUCACAGUUGACUCAGGUCUGUGCUCCAUUUCCAUGUUGAGAUGAUUUGGAUUCACCAGAACCUCUCACGCCACCAAGAUAAUGAAACCCAGGAGUUAAGAACACCAAGAACACUCAAGAACACUCAAUAACUUUAAGGAAAAAGGAAUCACACUCUCCCACUUUGCGCAACCUGGCUCUGAUACCAUAUACACUUUUGUGUAUUAGAGCAUGAUUCAACUAAUCCAGGAUAAUCAGAUGAAAAGAUUAAAGAGAUUAAGAGAUUUUAGUGAGAGAAUAGAGAGAGACUCAAAACUCCAUUAGAUUGAUUAAUGAGAGAGUUUACAACACAUAUAGAUUAGGGAUACAUCAAUUCGUCCAGGUUCACUCUAGCUAGGAUAGAAAGCAUGUGUAGUCAAAGAUGCUUGAUUUAAACUAGCCAAUAAGGUUCCUCACAUGCUUGGGCAUCUUGCUUUAGCUUUCCAGCUGGUGCCAGCCUGUCUAAAGCUCUCUAGCCUUGACCAGACCUUAUCCAAACUCCUCCUUGCUUAUUCAGACUCAUCCUGGCGUGAUUCACUCUUCACAUAGAUGCAAGGUAACUUCCCAAGUCUUUUAACUCAGUUACCACAGUAACAAUAAAGUUACUGUGGUAAAUCUCCAAGUUACUGCCUGCUCCAAAUCCCUUCCUCUAUCCAUGUAUCCACUCUCCAUCUCCUCAUCUCAACACUCCCCCUCAAGCUUGACCAUGUAGAACAAGUCAAGCUUGGAAACCAUGAAGACCUCCCUCAUUAAAAACCUCACCAAGGAAAACCCAAUGGGAUAAAACCUUGAUGAGGGAAAAAGAGUGGAGACUCCAUGGUUAAGGGGCUCAGCUCCUAGGAGUAAGAUCAAUGAGUCCAAGUCUUGAUAGUAUGGACUCCAUUGUCUUUACUCUCGCUGCCUUAGUAAACACAUCUGCAAGCUGAUCUUCACUUCUUGUAUAACAUGGCAAUAUCACUCCAAGUAUAAUCAUCUGCCUCACCUUGUGACAAUCAACUUCUAUAUGCUUCGUCCUCUCAUGAAAGACUGAGUUAGAAGCAAUGUGGAUAGCUGCUUGAUUGUCACAAUGCAUUGUCAUAGGAGUACUCUGCUCAAUCUCCAAAUGCUUCAAGAUCCCCUUGAUCCACACCAACUCGUUUGUCAGCUUCAACAUGGCUCUAUACUCAGCUUCAGCACUUGAACAGGAGAUAACCUUCUGCUUCUUACUCUUCCAAGUGACCAAGUUCCCUCCAAUGAAUGUACAAUACCCAGUAGUUGAUCUCCUGUCCACUCUAUCUCCUGCCCAAUCAGCAUCACAAUAUCCAACCACUUCUGUACUGCCAUUACAACCCAUCCAAACUCCUUGACCAGACGUGCCACUCAAAUACCUCAGUAUCCUAUCAACCAUCUUCCAAUGAUGAACCUUUGGUGCCUGCAUAUGCUGGCUCACUUGAUUCACUGCAAAGCAUAUAUCAGGUCUUGUAAUCGUCAAGUAGAUCAGCUUUCCAACCAUCCUCCUAUACAGCUUAGCAUCCUCAAACAACUGGUUCUCUUCAACCUCCCCCUCACGCAAGACCUUAUACCCCUCCUCAAGAGGUGUCUUAGCUAUCUUUCCUCCAAGCACAUCAGCUUCCUUUAGCAUAUCCAUUGCAUACUUCCUUUGAGACAUGAACAAACCCUCCUUUGAUCUGCAUAUCUCAAUCCCCAAGAAAUACUUCAUCUCUCCCAAGUCUUUGAUAUCAAAUACUGACCUGAGAAACUCUUUAGUGGCUUUAAUCCCAGCCUUAUCACUCCCUGUGAUAAUCAAAUCAUCCACAUACACUAGAAUCACAAUGAUCCCUGAUGGCCCGACCAGUGUGAAGAGUGUGUGAUCUAGUUCAGACUUCCUGAACCCUCUCCCAUUGAGUGUUGUACUCAGCUUCCUGUACCAGGCUCUAGGAGACUGCUUCAACCCAUAUAUAGCUUUCUUCAAUCUCAAAACAUUUCCUGGCUUUACUAGAUGCUCAAGACCAGGAGGAGGAAGCAUAUAUACCUCAUCUUCUAGCUCACCUUGCAGGAAAGCAUUCUUCACAUCCAUCUGCCACAAAUCCCACUCCAAGUUUGUUGCAAUGGAUAACACAAUUCGAAUUGUGUGAAGCUUGGCCACUGGUGCAAAAGUAUCAAUGUAAUCUUCUCCAUAAGUCUGUGUAAAUCCUCUUGCAACCAGCCUGGUCUUGUGCCUAUCUAUCUCCCCAUUUGCAAGAUAUUUAAUGGUGAAGAUCCAUCUGCUUGAAACUGCCUUCUUCCCUCUAGGUAAUUCACUCUCAUACCAAGUGUCAUUCCUGAUCAUUGCAUCCCUUUCAUCUCCUACUGAAUCUCUCCAAACCUUGUGCUUCAUAGCUUCUUCAUAAGAUCUUGGUAUCUCAUUCUCAUCCAAGUUACACAUAAACACCAUGUGCUCUUCUGGAAACUCAGCAAAGGAACACAUGGCUUGAGAGGGAUGCUCCACAGCCUGGGCAUUGUAGUACACUCUCGUGUUUACCCAGUUGGAAGGAUCCCUCCUUAUCCUUGUGCUCCUCCGCAAGGUCUCAACCUGUUCUUCAGCCUGAACAUUCUCUUGUGCUUCCUCUCUUAAACCAGUAGGUUCUCCCUGCUCAUUUCCAGCAGGUUCUCCCUGCUCAUUUCCACCUGACUGAGCUCCACUCUCUACUUCCUGUGUCUCCUCCUGAUCAUGCUGACCUGAAUCCUCUUGGUUAUGCUCCUGCUCCCCUGAUUCAGAUCCAUUCCCCCUCUCAUGAUCAAGAGGAGUUGUUCCUCCAGCUUCUCCAGCUUGAUUAGUAGGUCCUGUUCUUCCUGGUUCCUGAUCUUGGGAUAAUCCUAUCCCUAGCCUCUCCAACAACACCCUCAAUGUUGUUGCCUUCUCUGAUGGAGCUCGGGACAGAUCCUCUAGGUCUUCCCAUUUCUUCUCCUCAUAAUACCCUUUAGACUCAACAAACUUCACUUCUCUAGAUACCAUAACCCUCCUAGUUAUUGGAUCAUAACAUUUGUAGCCUUUCUGAGUGAUUGAGUACCCAAUGAACAUAGCUUUAGUACUCUUUGCUUCUAGCUUGUUCCUUCUUUCUCCGGGACUCAUCACAUAACAUAAGCACCCAAAGACUCUCAAAUGAUCAAUGUGUGGCUUGGUCUUGUUCAAUACUUCAAAGGGAGACAGUUUCUUCAAGACACGGGUUGGCACUCUAUUGAUGAGAUAGCAAGCAGUCUGAACAGCAUCACUCCAAAACCUCUUAGGGACAUUCAUGUGGAACAUGAUUGAUCUCGCAACCUCCAUCAAAUGUCUGUUCUUCCUCUCUGCCACCCCAUUUUGUUGUGGUGUGUAAGGACAGCUAGUUUGUUGCACAAUCCCAUGCUUUGCAAGAUGACUCUUGAAAGCAUUACUAGUGUAUUCUCCUCCAUUAUCAGACCUCAGAAUCUUCACAGUGGCAUUGUACUGAUUAGUAACAUAUGCUUGGAAGUUCAUGAAGGAUUCUAGGACUCUGUCUUUGGAGGGAAUCAUGGUGAUCCAUGUGUACUUUGACUUCUCAUCAAUGAAAGUCACAAAGUACUUAUGGCUGUCUCUAGACAUGCAGGGAGCUGUCCACACGUCUGAAUGCACCAGAUCAAAGCAAUUCUCAUAUCUGGUUUCUGAUGUUGGGAAGACAGUCCUACAGUGCUUUCCAAGUAUACACGCUUCACACUCCAAGUGAUUGAACGCCAUACUUGGUAGAAUCAGUUCAAUUGCCUUGGCAUGAGGAUGUCCCAGCCUUGCAUGCCAUGUGAGAUUAUCACACCUAUCCGUUGUGCUGCUUAAACACACAGACUCCACAGGACUAGGCGCCUCAGUUGUUUGGAGAUGAUAGAGCUGAUGCUUGCUGUCUCCUCUGCCAAUAACCCUUCCAGUCUUCAAAUCCUGGAACUCAACUUCAUUUGGUCUGAAAACCACUUGACAAUCCAGAUCAACUGUAGCCUUCUUAACUGAGAUUAGAUUGGAUGUAAACUGAGGUAGGUAGAAGGCAGUAGAGUUCUUCUCAAACAGCUUGAGGUUUCCCACUCCUUCUAUUGGGAUCCUGGUACCAUUGGCUAUCAUGACACUCCCUGUUGCUGCUUUAACCUCACUGAUUAGUCUCUUUUCACUGAUCAUNNNNNNNNNNNNNNNNNNNNNUCCUAAGCCUCACUCUCUUAUUACCAAUCCAUCUCAUCAUCUAAUGCCUUCUUCUCAACACAUGUGGUGUGUUGCUCCAGAGUCAAUGUUGAUGGGUUUAGAUGUGGAUGCUUUGGCAGGAGCACCCAGACUCCGGGUCGUAGCCAAAGCAUACACAUGCUUAACCAACUCAUCUCAUUCCUUCUUUGUCACACACUCAUCUGCCCUCUUGGUAUCCAUUCCUCUCAUAUCCGCACUGUCUCCUACUGUUUCUCCCAUGUAAGCUGAGUAUGAACACUCUCCUAUAACCAUCUGCUGAAGUACAUCCUUGAUUCUCUUCAAGAUUACACUCAUCCUGUCACUUAAGUGCUCAGACUCGCUAUCCUUUCUCCAUGCCCUUCUCUUCAUUAACCACUCCUUAGAAAGUUUUCUCAACCUUCCCCUCUUACAGCUUGUACCUCCCUUCCAUCUUUCUGGCUUCCUGUUCAUUUCCCACACAUCACAAGUAUAUUUAACAAGCUCACAUACCUCUUCCAUAAGGAAGCUGAAGAUCACAUCUUGCUUCCUCCUUUCUUGACUACAUCUCGGAUUUGAUGUGUGUGUCUUCACCACAUCUAGCUCUGACCACACUUCUCUCAGCCUUCCCACAAGCUGAUAACACUCAUCCUUUCCUUGUCUCAAGCCGCGGAUCACCCCUCUGUCCUCAACGACUCUCACAAGCUUGGACUUGCCUAAAGUUGCUUCAAUCUCACUCUUUGUAGUGUUUCCUUGAACAACUUCAUUUCCCAGCUUCAGACCUCUUGUCUGACCUUCUUCAGUAGCCAUUUCCAUGAAAGGUUUCCCCUUUCCAUGACUACUCCAUAACCCACAGCUUUCCAAAGCUCUUUUAGCCCACCUUGACCACUCGCCAAGCCUCUCCUCUUCAGUCUUCACAGUUGACUCAGGUCUGUGCUCCAUUUCCAUCUUGAGAUGAUUUGGAUUCACCAGAACCUCUCACGCCACCAAGAUAAUGAAACCCAGGAGUUAAGAACACCAAGAACACUCAAGAACACUCAAUAACUUUAAGGAAAACUUUCUAAUCAGGUGAUUCCAGUUUCCCAGUUUGGGAAUAGGACAGCUUCUUCUUCGUUCCAAUUAAGCCAGGAUGAAUCACUUUGUAAG
rnacentral:lncRNA from 1 species